GGAAAAGAAAAGAAUCCAAGAAGUAAAUGUAUAAAAGAAAAACACAUAUGGUGAAAUGAACAUGUAUUUUAGAACAUUAGAACAUCACUUUUGGAAUAAUACAACAACGUAAGUGUGGAUUCAGACACCUGUCGACUGUAACAACUGCUAUAAGGUCAUAAAUUGAUUUUUUUAAAAAAAUCAUUAAUAUUCACUAUUUACAGCUUCAAAAUGUCUAUGAAAUUUCUCUGAAUCGUUGUAUAGUGUUGUGAAAACCAACAUGUUUCUUGACCUCACUGAGGCACAGGAUUGGCCCCAUAUUUAAUGUUUGAUGAAAUGACCAAAAAUAGUCACUUGCCUGAUAAAGGGUUAA